CCCCCUUAUGUACGUAGAAAAAAAUAUGUCUGCGGUAUUAGUGAAGUUGCCUGUCAUUCCUCCGUCCCGCGGCAUUGCUGCCGCUGAGAACCCACCCCUUCCCCUUUGAUCUUGGAAGCUUCUUGUUUAUUGGCCACUGAUUGGCCGACAUGUAAAAGUUAAGGCUGAACUUUGAUAGGCUCAACCACCCUUGAUACUUUGACCGCGGCCAUUGGCCCGCACCACAUCGGGAUCCGAUUGGCUACAGGAAGAGAGCGAAGCGCCAGAGGGGAUAGAGGCCGGAUUUGGGCCGCAGACUGGCGCCUGUGGAGCUACGGGCGCUGCGGGUCGGAUCGCCCGGAGGGGGUCAGUGCCAGGCCUCAAGGUCAAACCGCUGAAGGCUGCCGUUAGAGCCCGUGCUCAAACGCCCGCCCCAGAUCCCGAGACACCCAGGUCCCUAGCCGAGAGAUCUGUUCCCGCGGGAUCUCGGGCUAGUGGGAGGCGGAGCCAGCCUGAGCGGGGCAUCCCCUGGCGCGCCCCGCGAGUCUGUUCGGGAACUUGUUACGACAGGCGGGCGCUGGCCCGUUAGACUCCGGUCGGAUCUGGAGUGUUGCCCUCCCCUCCCCCCUCGCCCCCCCGCCCCAGGCCGCGCGCGAGCUGACUCCUGAGGUCCUGGAGUUCUUCAGGUAUGGUACUGAGCUUGCACCCGACGUCGCCCAGUACACCCCGCAGUUGAAUGAAUGAAUUCUCCGGGGACCCACUGUCCAUGGGCACUGCGCCAAGCCGCGAGCUGGAGAUAGGGAAGGAAGAUGUCGAAAUGGGAUGAUUCAGAGACAGGUGGAGAGGCCGGACUGGAGGCCACUGCCGGAACACUGCAGGGAAAGUACGGCCACUGUGGGGAAACUCGGAUGUACAGCUUUUUCUUCAGCUGACGCCCGGAUGAACCCUACUGCCUGUUCAUCAUUGCCUUUUGUAAAAGACCGUUCCUUGCCAGCCGGGUUGGCUAGAGUCGGAGGGACGCACCCUGGUUAAAGAACAAUGCCUGCAAUUCCCAGCCAUGAGCACCACCUCCGGGCCGUGACGUUGUUCAAGACCUACGCACACUCGGUACAUGAUGGGAUUAUUCUCCCUGCUUCCUUGAAGAUAGGCAUGGUCACGGAAUUUGCUUUGGCAAAUAAAAUGUGAGAGAAGCACAAGAGCCACUCAUUAAUUCCCCCUCCCACAUGACUAUUGAUGUUCAAACGGUGAAACCUCCAUCAGUCUUGUGAGGAUGACAAGCAGAGUCACCUACUUGCUACCCACUUCAUCCCAGAUGGACUUUGAGUAUGAGUAUGUUGUUCUUAAGAUAUGAAAAUUUUAGGAUUAUUCCAUCACAGCAUAAUCUAGUCCAGUGCUUCUCAGACUUCAACGUGAUAUUCGUUACCUGAAGAAUUUGCUAAAAUGCAGAUUAUAAUUCUGUAGGUCUGGGUGGAGACUGAGAUUCCGCAUUUCUGACAAGCUCCCAGGUAAUGCUGAUGCUGCCAUACUCUGGACCACACUCUGAAUAGCAAGGAUCUAACCCACCCUGACUAUCUGAUAUAUAUCUGAUAUACCCCUCUCAAUACAUCUAAACAUGCUAUAUCCUACAUCUUAACAACACUUAAACCUUCCUAAAAAAAAAAAAAAGCAAGCCAAGAAACGACUUUCUUGGUAAUAGUCUUUAUAAACCCUCAAUAGCUUCCCACACUUGCAACUCCUCAGACACUGUAGACUUACUUUCUUAUGUUCCUAGGACAGUUGUUUUCCACAUUCUCUCUUCUAGCUCCUGUCAUUUUCUUUUCUACGUCUAUGAGACCAGUGGUUGUCUCAAAUAGUCUCAUUUAUUUUCUUUAGUAAUUAUAACCCCAAGUUUUAUCUUGGGCUCAUGGGUUUCCAGCUCAAGUUUAUAUUUUCCCUAGCUUCCCUUGCAGCUAGCAUUGGCUGUGUGACUAAAUUUUAGCUAGUACGAUGUGAAUGUAAAUGACAGGAAACAUCAGGGUUCUGCCUUUAAAAGGAAAGAUUGUGUCCUCUUUGAAUAUUUUCCUAAUUUUCUCCCUUCUUGUCAUCUAGAAUAAAGACCCAGAAUAUGUUGACCAGUUUUGGCCAUAAGGACAAGACCUAUACUUAGGAGGUAGCAGAGCAAAAGAUAUAAAAAAAACCUGCUGCCUUUUGGAUAACAGUAGUACCUCUGGACGACUCAUGUUGAGGUACAUGAGAGAACUCGUUUAAGCAUUUGCUGUUAGUUUGAAUCUUUGUUACAGCAGCUAGUUUAUAUCCUAACUGAUACAUGUUCUUCCCUAGAAUGAAUUUCUCCCUUCGUUCUUAACAAAAUUCUCAUUCUUGAUGAUCCAAAAUGACUCCUUCCAGUAUAUAUUACCCUCUUUCUCUGAACUGCCAUUGUAGAUAACCAGACAUGAGAUAUGAUUAUAGUAUAGAAUGAUAUUGAUUUCAGUAGCCACACGUGAAAAUAAGACUGAUUUCUUUACAGUCACUUAAAGAGAAACUGACUCCUAUGUUAUGAAAAAUAGACCAUCAGAGCCAUAGGAAUUCAGAGAUGGGGCAAUCAGUGAGAACUGAAGGGAUAAGAAGAUAUUAUAUAUUUUAGCAGUUUCAAACAAAAAUGUAUACAGGAAGACUUCUCAAGGGAUAUGUGGGGAGCAGUUUUAAGGGAAUCAAUAUGCCGUUGCUCAUCUUCAGCAUCUUUCCUAAAACUCAUCUUCCUGAGAAAGCAGUUGAAGUAGUUCUCCUUCCCUGCCUCCCAUUUCUCAGUCCUGUCACCCCAUCAAAGAAAAAUGUGCCUUUGCCUGUCUUUCAUCUUGUUAUGUAGUUCAUCGCCUUGGUGUGUAAAAACUUCUAGACAGCCAAACAAUCUUGGUGUUAACAAGGCUCUCUUUAAUCAGGGUACAACUGUAGUCUUCAUGUCUUUCUCUGACUUACAUAUAUUUCCCUUAGGGCAAAACAUGGCUUUAGGAAUGGAUAGUUUGGUCCUUUUGGGAUAUUCAACACACACACACACACACACACACACACACACACACACACACACAUUGUACAGUGGAGAAGUGGGUUUUUAAAUUUAACUACAUUACCCAUUCCAAAUCCUGACUAUGAUCAAAGAAUAUAUUGUUUGAACAGAGCGAAAAAAGCAUAUUAGAUAUUAAAGGUAGUGGUGCCUUAUUUCAUCAGGUGACAUAUUCAUGGCAAGGACUCUGUCAUCUAUUUAUCUUGGAACUAAGAUGUUCAAGAUUUUUAGAAUGUUGGGAAGUAAUAAUGUGCUACAAAGUAUAAUGUUCCCUCUUUAGUCAGAAAUAAAUAUCUGAGUUAUAUUCUUCAUU